rnacentral:rRNA from 1 species
CCGUUNCCGGCGACCGGCGCACGGGUGAGUAACACGUAUGCAACCUGCCCGUGGCAGGGGGAUAAGCGGGGGAAACCCCGUCUAAUACCGCGUAACGCGGCCUAGGGACAUCCCAAGGCCGCCAAAGGGAGCAAUCCCGGCCACGGAUGGGCAUGCGGCGCAUUAGCUAGUCGGCGGGGUAACGGCCCACCGAGGCGACGAUGCGUAGGGGUUCUGAGAGGAAGGCCCCCCACACUGGUACUGAGACACGGACCAGACUCCUACGGAAGGCAGCAG